AGUAACGCGUAGAUAACCUGUCUUCAUGGUACUGGAAUAAUACGCCGAAAGGGGUACUAAUACCGGAUAUUCGUUGCUUUUCAUAAGUUAUGCAAGCAAAGGUGGCCUCUGCAGUAUGCUACUGCAUGAAGAGGGGUCUGCGUACCAUUAGCUAGUAGGUGGGGUAAUGGCCUACCUAGGCGACGAUGGUUAGCGGGUCUGAGAGGAUGAUCCGCCACACUGGCACUGGAACACGGGCCAGACUCCUACGGGAGGCAGCAGUGAGGAAUAUUGCGCAAUGGGGGAAACCCUGACGCAGCGACGGCCGCGUGAGUGAGGAAGGCCUUCGGGUCGUAAAGCUCUGUCAAGAGGAAAGAAGUGUACAAUGGCUAAUACCUGUUGUAUUUGACGGUACCUCUAAAGGAAGCACCGGCUAACUCCGUGCCAGCCGCCGC
rnacentral:rRNA from 1 species